AUUGAACGCUGGCGGCAGGCCUAACACAUGCAAGUCGAGCGGAUGAAGGGAGCUUGCUCCUGGAUUCAGCGGCGGACGGGCGAGUAAUGCCUAGGAAUCUGCCUGGUAGUGGGGGAUAACGUCCGGAAACGGGCGCUAAUACCGCAUACGUCCUGAGGGAGAAAGUGGGGGAUCUUCGGACCUCACGCUAUCUGAUGAGCCUAGGUCGGAUUAGCUAGUUGGUGGGGUAAAGGCCUACCAAGGCGACGAUCCGUAACUGGUCUGAGAGGAUGAUCAGUCACACUGGAACUGAGACACGGUCCAGACUCCUACGGGAGGCAGCAGUGGGGAAUAUUGGACAAUGGGCGAAAGCCUGAUCCAGCCAUGCCGCGUGUGUGAAGAAGGUCUUCGGAUUGUAAAGCACUUUAAGUUGGGAGGAAGGGCAGUAAGAUAAUACCUUGCGGUUUUGACGUUACCAACAGAAUAAGCACCGGCUAACUUCGUG
rnacentral:rRNA from 1 species